UAACUUUCAACAACGGAUCUCUUGGCUCUCACGUCGAUGAAGAACGCAGCGAAAUGCGAUAAGUAAUGUGAAUUGCAGAAUUCAGUGAAUCAUCGAAUCUUUUAACGCAGACUGCGCCCUUUGGUAUUCCGAAGGGCAUGCCUGUUUGAGUGUCUU
rnacentral:rRNA from 1 species